UGCAAUAACAACCCAUCAUUUGUUGGUUGAUGGCAUGAGAGGCUGUUGGUACACUCAGCAUUUUACUUUCGAUCUUGACAAUGACCUCCAUGGAUAUGUGGAACCCUCAUUUUACAAGAAGAAACGAAAACUCUCCAAGGCGGAGGCAUUUUCCCACAGUCACUCAGCUGGAACGUAGUAGAUCCAGAUUUCAAAUUUUAUUUGACAGCAGAAGGAGGGAAGGCAGCGGGCACAGGAGAGGGAGAAGCAGGCUCUGCUAAGCAGGGAGAUUGAUGCGGGUCUCGAUCCCAGGGCCCUUAGAUCAUGACCUGAGCCGAAGGCAGACGCCAAACCAACUGAGCCACCCAGGGCCCAGAAAGAAAACAGUGAAAUCAUGCUGCCUGUGCACAUUUUGGAACAAACGCAAUGAUUGUGUUGUUUUUCACUGAAACUUCCAUUUGCCGGGAGCCUUUUUCCUUCAGGUAGAAACCAUUUUCCUAACUGUGUUGAUUUUCAG